UUAUUCAUGUAAUUUUAUGUGAUUUUGGUAUUUUUCUAGGGAAAUCGAUCUCUAUGAUUUUAAUAGUUUUGUUACUAUCCAGUUAACCCAGAUCUAAGUUUAGGGUUUAAAAUUACCCGCUGAUUUUUUGUUUCCUUAGUUUUUGGUUUAUACAUAUCACUGGAAAAUUGAUUUGAAAGUCAUAAUCACUGGAAAAUUAAUUAUCUAUCACUUAGUUGUUGUGAGUUUUCAGAGAUUAAAUAAUAUUUAUGCCCUCAUCAAGGGAUGAACUGCACGCGUUAAUUGCAAAGAAAAUUUUGAAGUGACUAAACGGUUUCAAAAACUUUGAAAUCCAUCAUGUUGUUGAUGCUUCAAGCGGCAGAAGAUACAGUCGCGAAUGUUAAUACCGAACCUACCUUAAAAAAUAUUCUUAUACAUCGGUAAAUUCUUUGUAUUUAUCUCGAAAUUUAUCGAAUGUAAAAUUCUUUAAUUGUAAUAUAAAAUUGCAUAUGUUCUUGAUUUAUGGCUUAAAAAGAGUUGGUUAUUCGAGCAUAAGGAACAAUGAUCAGUUUUGUGUAACAAAUCUUAGUAAGGGUAGCACCAUAGAUGUUGGAUCAAAUGUAUGUUAUGAGUCGUUUGUCAGGAGGUUUACAACUACUUUGAAUUAGGUGAUGGUGUUGGUGACGAGUCAUAAUUGCAAGUAAAUGGGCACAAUUUAGGUGGUGCAUCACUGUUCUUUUGCAUCACAAUUUCGGACUCCUUUUCGUUUUUUGUUUUAGGACUCCUCGCUCUUGAACUUUCGUGCAAGAAAAUAAAAAGAUGACCAAUUGAGCAGAAGACAUGUGAUAAAUGCGAAAUAGCACGUGCCAUUUAAGCAAGUGAUCUCAACUAUGAGCAGCAGUGUUUCCUCUAUGUUGUGCUUGACGGAUGGAGGCUGGUAAGUUCAUCAUGUUGUCAAUGAUCCCAGGAAUAUGUGGAGCUGCAACAGAUCAUACAUGAUCUCCACGGAAUACCAUCACUGCACUCACAUCUAUAUUGGUUAAAACCCACGCACUUGGUAGUAUUUCCUUCAAAUUGUUUCUUUAUUUUGAAGAAUCUGUAAUCUGUAAGAUGUUGGGAAAAGGUACAAGGUUCAGUUGUAGUAGU